CUUACUCUCCGUGUCUCCCUGCCUUCCUCCAUUCUGCCGCCCAGCUCCCUGAAACCAACAAAUAUCGAAUAUACUUGCUUCUCCGCACCCAAGGCCUGGACUGAGCAGGCUCAGCGCUACGAGAUCUGGGAUCGCAGCGGGAGUACCGGGUCCUUGCGUGAUCACCAGCUGCAGCCUCUUUCUUCGCUAUUUGCUGGGUUAAAACGCUUCUCUCUCACUUCCCUCCUUUUCGCCCCUGGAUCUGAGAAAUAAAUCCAAGUCUCCUACUGCAUCAGCCCUCCCCAUCGCCGCUAUCUCACUUCUCCUUACCGAAGAUAAUCUCUUUGUUUCCUGAAGGAAACCGUAAUAUUCAGACAUUUGAGCGGUAAAUGAAUUUUUCUUUAAGAUGUUUAAUUUUCU
rnacentral:lncRNA from 1 species